GAAAACAGGAAUAUAAGAGAAGAAAAUGGGAAUUUGAGAGAGAAAAUUAUACAGUUACUAAGAGAGAAAGACAGCCUGUGGCACUCGAACCAGCGUCUGGAAGAGGUCGCAACGUGGCAGAGACGGACAGGAAACACGGAGUGGCUGAGGGACGCAACGGCCAGCGAGUGCAUGCUGUGCGGCACUCCCUUCACCCUGCUGCGGAGGAGGCACCACUGCCGGCACUGUGGGAGGAUCUUCUGCUCGGGAUGCGUUGAUAACUGGAUUCUGACAGAGGCAGAAAGCCGGCGCGUGCGAGUGUGUGUGACGAGUAGUUUUUCAGUUCAGGCGGGAGUUGGCUUCCAUUGUUGGCUUCUCCAUCGCACU